rnacentral:sRNA from 1 species
GUCGGCAUUGCUGAUGAGCGCUGAUCGAAUUCGCCGUUCGCAAUGCUCUGUCGCCAUCUGCCUUUACCACGGAUGUACUGGCACUGAUAAAGAGGCGACCGUGAGGAAGGUCGGUGCGAUUUCGCCCCGGCCUUUUUUAUG